UACGGAGGGUGCAAGCGUUAUCCGGAUUCACUGGGUUUAAAGGGUGCGUAGGUGGGUUUGUAAGUCAGUGGUGAAAUCUCCAAGCUUAACUUGGAAACUGCCGUUGAUACUAUAAAUCUUGAAUGUUGUGGAGGUGAGCGGAAUAUGUCAUGUAGCGGUGAAAUGCUUAGAUAUGACAUAGAACACCAAUUGCGAAGGCAGCUCACUACACAAAGAUUGACACUGAGGCACGAAAAGCGUGGGGAUCAAACAGG
rnacentral:rRNA from 1 species